rnacentral:tRNA from 1 species
CCUUUGAUAGCUCAGCUGGUAGAGCAGAGGACCAUAGGAUCCUUAGGUCACUGGUUCAAUUCUGGCUCAAGGGA